rnacentral:tRNA from 1 species
GCUGCGGUAGCUCAGUGGUAGAGCACACCCUUGGUAAGGGUGAGGCCGAGAGUUCGAUCCUCUCUCGCAGCACCA